AUGUCUGGGAAACUGCCUGAUGGAGGGGGAUAACUACUGGAAACGGUAGCUAAUACCGCAUAACGUCGCAAGACCAAAGAGGGGGACCUUCGGGCCUCUUGCCAUCAGAUGUGCCCAGAUGGGAUUAGCUAGUAGGUGGGGUAAUGGCUCACCUAGGCGACGAUCCCUAGCUGGUCUGAGAGGAUGACCAGCCACACUGGAACUGAGACACGGUCCAGACUCCUACGGGAGGCAGCAGUGGGGAAUAUUGCACAAUGGGCGCAAGCCUGAUGCAGCCAUGCCGCGUGUGUGAAGAAGGCCUUCGGGUUGUAAAGCACUUUCAGCGAGGAGGAAGGUGGUGAACUUAAUACGUUCAUCAAUUGACGUUACUCGCAGAAGAAGCACCGGCUAACUCCGUGCCAGCAGCCGCGGUAAUAA
rnacentral:rRNA from 1 species